GAUGAACGCUGGCUACAGGCUUAACACAUGCAAGUCGAGGGGAAACGACGGGGAAGCUUGCUUCCCCGGGCGUCGACCGGCGCACGGGUGAGUAACGCGUAUCCAACCUGCCUCUGACUGAGGGAUAACCCGUCGAAAGUCGGCCUAAUACCUCAUGGCAUCGUCUGCGGGCAUCCAACGACGAUUAAAGAUUUCAUCGGUCAGAGAUGGGGAUGCGUCUGAUUAGCUUGUUGGCGGGGUAACGGCCCACCAAGGCGACGAUCAGUAGGGGUUCUGAGAGGAGGGACCCCCACAUUGGGACUGGGACCCGGCCCAAACCCCUACGGGAGGCAGGAGGGGGGAAUAUUGGCAAAGGGGGGGAGGCCUGAACCAGCCAAGGAGGGUGGAGGAUGACGGCCCUAUGGGUUUAAAACGUUUUUUAGGGGGGGAAAAAGAGGGGGGGGGGCCCUUCUUGGCGGGUCCCGAAGAAAAAAGGACGGGCUAAUUCCGG
rnacentral:rRNA from 1 species